UACGUAGGGCGCAAGCGUUGUCCGGAAUUAUUGGGCGUAAAGAGCUCGUAGGUGGCGUGUCGCGUCUGCCGUGAAAGCCCAUGGCUUAACUGUUGGUCUGCGGUGGAUACGGGCAGGCUGGAGGCUGGUAGGGGCAAGCGGAAUUCCUGGUGUAGCGGUGAAAUGCGCAGAUAUCAGGAGGAACACCGGUGGCGAAGGCGGCUUGCUGGGCCAGUUCUGACGCUGAGGAGCGAAAGCGUGGGGAGCGAACAGG
rnacentral:rRNA from 1 species